GACGAACGCUGGCGGCGUGCUUAACACAUGCAAGUCGAACGGUGAAGGGGUCUGCUUUUGUGGGCCCUGGAUGAGUGGCGAACGGGUGAGUAACACGUGAGUAACCUGCCCCCUUCUUCUGGAUAACCGCAUGAAAGUGUGGCUAAUACGGGAUAUUCUGGGUCUGUCGCAUGAUGGGUCUGGGAAAGAUUGCGCCUUUGGGUGUUUUUGGUGGGGGAUGGGCUCGCGGCCUAUCAGCUUGUUGGUGGGGUGAUGGCCUACCAAGGCGGUGACGGGUAGCCGGCCUGAGAGGGUGGACGGUCACACUGGGACUGAGACACGGCCCAGACUCCUACGGGAGGAAGCAGUGGGGAAUAUUGCACAAUGGGCGCAAGCCUGAUGCAGCGACGCCGCGUGAGGGAUGGAGGCCUUCGGGUUGUAAACCUCUUUCGCCAGUGAAGCAGGCCUGCUCCUUGUGGGUGGGUUGACGGUAGCUGGAGAAGAAGCGCCGGCUAACUACGUG
rnacentral:rRNA from 1 species